UAUUUGCAGGAUGCUUUUAAGGUUCCUCUUGUAAUACAGCUAACCGACGAUGAGAAGUGCAUGUGGAAGAAUCUCUCAGUAGAAGAGAGUAAAAGGCUUGCUCGUGAGAAUGCAAAAGACAUAAUUGCAUGUGGCUUUGACAUAACAAGAACUUUCAUUUUCUCAGAUUUUAAUUAUGUUGGUGGGUUGUCAUACUCGUUAUAUGCGCGUUUUGCAGAAGUUAGAACCGACAACCGACGAUUUGGCAUCUCUUCUUGGUAGAAUAGGUAGAGCAUGACUUCUUUCAACGGCAAUUUAUGAUGAAACUGAUUCCCACCUUGGACUCACAGAACUCCCUUCGACUCUUCCGACACCAGAAGAAAUGGCAUCGCUGACUCAAAAAAUUUUGUAAACCUUUUUGUUUAUACUGUUUUUGUUUUGUUUGUGGGAUGUCUGGAAUUCAUUACGUGUAUCCCAUUCCUAG